CGGCGGACGGGUGAGUAACACGUGGAUAACCUACCUAUAAGACUGGGAUAACUUCGGUAAACCGGAGCUAAUACCGGAUAAUAUAUUGAACCGCAUGGUUCAAUGGUGAAAGACGGUUUUGCUGUCACUUAUAGAUGGAUCCGCGCCGCAUUAGCUAGUUGGUAAGGUAACGGCUUACCAAGGCAACGAUGCGUAGCCUACCUGAGAGGGUGAUCGUCCACACUGGAACUGAGACACGGUCCAGACUCCUACGGGAGGCAGCAGUU
rnacentral:rRNA from 1 species